rnacentral:rRNA from 1 species
GUCCACGCCGUAAACGAUGUCAACUAGCCGUUGGUCCUAUAUACAGGAUUAGUGGCGCAGCUAACGCAUUAAGUUGACCGCCUGGGGAGUACGGCCGCAAGGUUAAAACUCAAAUGAAUUGACGGGGGCCCGCACAAGCGGUGGAGCAUGUGGUUUAAUUCGAUGCAACGCGAAGAACCUUACCUACCCUUGACAUCCAGAGAAUCUGUUAGAGAUAGUAGAGUGCCUUCUGGAACUCUGAGACAGGUGCUGCAUGGCUGUCGU